CGUGGAUGAGUGGCGAACGGGUGAGUAACACGUGAGUAACCUGCCCUCUUCUUUGGGAUAACGGUCGGAAACGGCUGCUAAUACCGGGUAUUCACUGUCCUUCGCAUGAGGGGUGGUGGAAAGGUUUUUUCUGGUGGGGGAUGGGCUCGCGGCCUAUCAGCUUGUUGGUGGGGUGAUGGCUUACCAAGGCUUUGACGGGUAACCGGCCUGAGAGGGUGACCGGUCACAUUGGGACUGAGAUACGGCCCAG
rnacentral:rRNA from 1 species